AAAUCCAUCAACUAUUUAUCAACUACUUAAAAACUCUUUAACUGUUUAAAAUUUUUAAUACUUAUAAACUCACAUUAAUUUAUAAGUACCAGGUGCUUAUAAAUUUAUUUUUCAUAAAUUAAGUCAAACACCAUAUAUUGAUCGUUAAAUAUUAGCAAGCAAUUGCCACCAUUUGAAUAGUAAAAAAAUUAACUAAAAAUCUCAGCUACAGUUGAUUCUCGAUGUCAAUUGAGCAUUUAGUUAUAAUUUAAACCUUUUUCACAACUAAUGUUGAAAAGCUGCUUCAAACUAAACUUACCAAAUCUCUCAUAUUAGCAGCUAAGGUUAUCUUUUCUAGAUUGUAUAUCAACCAUAUUCAACCAAAUCAAACGUAGCUGAUUUCACUAGUUCGAUUUUAAUUGAUUAAAAUUUGAAUCAAAAUUGACUAGUGCACGCUCUUAGUCAGGCUAUAUUUUUUUAUAUAUAAAAUAAAAACCUAAGUGAUUAAAACAGGAAAAGAAAGAACCAGGGACGGAACUAAAU
rnacentral:misc_RNA from 1 species